GAUGAACGCUAGCUACAGGCUUAACACAUGCCAGUCGAGGGGAAACGGCAUUAAGUGCUUGCACUUUUUGGACGUCGACCGGCGCACGGGUGAGUAACGCGUAUCCAACCUUCCCAUGACUAAGGGAUAACCUGCCGAAAGGCAGACUAAUACCUUAUGGUCUUCACUGACGGCAUCAGAUGUGAAGUAAAGAUUUAUCGGUUAUGGAUGGGGUUGCGUCUGAUUAGCUUGUUGGCGGGGUAACGGCCCACCAAGGCAACGAUCAGUAGGGGUUCUGAGAGGAAGGUCCCCCACAUUGGAACUGAGACACGGUCCAAACUCCUACGGGAGGCAGCAGUGAGGAAUAUUGGGCAAUGGGCGAGAGCCUGAACCAGCCAAGUAGCGUGCAGGAGGACGGCCCUAUGGGUUGUAAACUGCUUUUGUAUGGGGAUAAAGUCAAUCACGUGUGAUUGUUUGCAGGUACCAUACGAAUAAGGACCGGCUAAUUCCGUG
rnacentral:rRNA from 1 species